GGGGAUUUAGCUCAGUGAUAGAGCGCUUGCCUAGCAAGCAUAAGGCCCUGGGUUCGGUCCCCAGCUCCG
rnacentral:tRNA from 1 species